UACAGAGGGUGCGAGCGUUAAUCGGAAUUACUGGGCGUAAAGCGUGUGUAGGCGGCUAUGUAAGUCGGAUGUGAAAGCCCUGGGCUCAACUCAGGAAGUGCACUCGAUACUGCGUAGCUAGAGUACCGGAGAGGUUGGUGGAAUUCUCGGUGUAGAGGUGAAAUUCGUAGAUAUCGAGAGGAACACCGGUGGCGAAGGCGGCCAACUGGACGAGUACUGACGCUGAGACACGAAAGCGUGGGGAGCAAACAGG
rnacentral:rRNA from 1 species